ACAAAGAGAAUGAAUUUUAUCCUGUCUGGCUGAAGGAAGGGGUAGGCAUUGAACUAUUUUGAGCUUGAGCCUGAUGCAAUCCCAUUUGCAUUUUAGACAGAUCACUAUGGUGAUGAUGGGUUGGAAGGAUGCUGUUUGGGAAGCAGGGAAAAUAAGGAGCUGUCGCAUCAGUGGCACAGCAAAGGAGAGGCUGCUUGGAGGGACACAUGGAGAUACAAACCAUGCAAGUCCUUCUCCACGCAUGGGUACCUUGACCCAGCUUCAGCCUCCUUUCGUGAUGUAAAUAUGGAGCGAGUAUCCUUUCUUUGAGAAGCCCAUCUUGAUCUCUGAGACUUCUAUUUUAAGUGCUCACAGGCUCACUCAACAGAACUCAGCCCCUGAUGUGCUGUGGCAUGUGGAGUGAGCACUGACUCUAGAUGCUGAUUGAGGUGAAUGUGGAUCCUGACACCUACUAUGGCCCAGAGCAAAUCAGUGAAUACCUCUACGCUUCAAUGGUAGCAACUCCUGCCCUAAUAUAAAAUCUAAUGACCAAGCAAAAAACAAAUGCGUCUGGUACAGCUGAUCCAUUCAAAGUCUGUGCAAGCUGGAAUGACGACCUCCAGGCAAAAUUCUCAGUACUCGGAGUAUCAAAUCUGUUCAUAGGGAUUCAACCUCUGUGAAAUAAAAUGUGAUGUCUUCCAUAGGUAA